UUCCGUAGGUGAACCUGCGGAAGGAUCAUUAACACUAAUCCAAUUCAACUCAACAAAGCCUUUAGUUGUAGGAUGGAAACAUUCUACAGCAACUUACAAAACUAAUAAGUCAAAGAAACUUAACUAAGCAACUAAAACAAAAACCAAAUUCUCAACGGUGGAUGUCUUGGUUCCCACAACGAUGAAGAACGCAGCGAAGUGCGAUAAGCAGUGCGAAUUGCAGAACCGUGAGUCAUCAGAUUUUUGAACGCAACUGGCGCCGUGCGGGGUUACCCGCCGGCACGCCUGGUCCAGUGUCUUGUUUUCUCAUCACCAAAAUCAUAAUGCAAGAGAUACCCUUCUCUUGUCAAGCACGAAAGCACUCUGCGCUCUGCGAGCGGCCUUCGGGUCGCACUCAAUGCAGCAGUCACAUUAUUACUAGUGUGAACUCAUUGAGAGUGGACGCGGCGAAGCAAUAGCUUCAAGUGUUUAGUCACACCAACUUUGGUACGGUAUCUGGGCUCAGGUGGGACCACCCGCUGAACUUAAGCAUAUCAAUAAGCGGA
rnacentral:rRNA from 1 species